rfam:Aureimonas sp. Leaf454 contig_4, whole genome shotgun sequence.
ACCCGGGUCCGGGCCCCUCUGGCGAGCCGACAUGCCGGCCACCUCGCGAUGUCGGACCGUUUCA